CGGGGUGUAGCGCAGUUGGUAGCGCGCCAGUUUUGGGAACUGGAUGCCGUGAGUUCGAGUCUCACCACUCCGACCA
rnacentral:tRNA from 1 species